rnacentral:rRNA from 1 species
GACGAACGCUGGCGGCGUGCCUAAUACAUGCAAGUCGAACGCUGAAGAGAGGAGCUUGCUCUUCUUGGAUGAGUUGCGAACGGGUGAGUAACGCGUAGGUAACCUGCCUUGUAGCGGGGGAUAACUAUUGGAAACGAUAGCUAAUACCGCAUAACAAUGGAUGACACAUGUCAUUUAUUUGAAAGGGGCAAUUGCUCCACUACAAGAUGGACCUGCGUUGUAUUAGCUAGUAGGUGAGGUAAUGGCUCACCUAGGCGACGAUACAUAGCCGACCUGAGAGGGUGAUCGGCCACACUGGGACUGAGACACGGCCCAGACUCCUACGGGAGGCAGCAGUAGGGAAUCUUCGGCAAUGGGGGCAACCCUGACCGAGCAACGCCGCGUGAGUGAAGAAGGUUUUCGGAUCGUAAAGUUCUGUUGUAAGUCAAGAACGGGUGUGAGAGUGGAAAGUUCACACUGUGACGGUAGCUUACCAGAAAGGGACGGCUAACUACGUG